rnacentral:rRNA from 1 species
GAUAACCUCCUGGAAACUGGGGAUAAUACCGGAUAACGCAUAUGUGCUGGAAUGCUUUAUGCGUAAAACGGAUUCGUCCGCCCAAGGAUGGGUCUGCGGCCUAUCAGGUAGUAGUGGGUGUAAUGUACCUACUAGCCAACAACGGGUACGGGUUGUGAGAGCAAGAGCCCGGAGAUGGGUUCUGAGACAUGAAUCCAGGCCCUACGGGGCGCAGCAGGCGCGAAAACUUUACAAUGCGGGAAACCGUGAUAAGGGAACACCGAGUGCCAGCAUCAUAUGCUGGCUGUCCAGAUGUGUAAACUACAUCUGUUAGCAAGGGCCGGGCAAGACCGGUGCCAGCCGCCGCGGUAACACCGGCGGCCCGAGUGGUGACCGUUAUUAUUGGGUCUAAAGGGUCCGUAGCCGGUUUGGUCAGUCCUCCGGGAAAUCUGAUAGCUUAACUGUUAGGCUUUCGGGGGAUACUGCCAGGCUUGGAACCGGGAGAGGUAAGAGGUACUACAGGGGUAGGAGUGAAAUCUUGUAAUCCCUGUGAGACCACCUGUGGCGAAGGCGUCUUACCAGAACGGGUUCGACGGUGAGGGACGAAAGCUGGGGGCACGAACCGGAUUAGAUACCCGGGUAGUCCCAGCCGUAAACUAUGCUCGCUAGGUGUCUAGCAUGGCGCGACCGUGUCUGGUGCCGCAGGGAAGCCGUGAAGCGAGCCACCUGUGAAGUACGGCCGCAAGGCUGAAACUUUAAAGGAAUUGGCGGGGGAGCACAACAACGGGUGGAGCCUGCGGUUUAAUUGUACUCAACGCCGGGACAACUCACCGGGGGACGACAGCAAAAUGUAGGGCCAGGCUGAAGACAUUGCCUGCACUCAUCUGAGAGGAGGUGCAU